rnacentral:rRNA from 1 species
UGGGGAAUAUUGCACAAUGGGCGCAAGCCUGAUGCAGCCAUGCCGCGUGUGUGAAGAAGGCCUUCGGGUUGUAAAGCACUUUCAGCGAGGAGGAAGGUGGUGAACUUAAUACGUUCAUCAAUUGACGUUACUCGCAGAAGAAGCACCGGCUAACUCCGUGCCAGCAGCCGCGGUAAUACGGAGGGUGCAAGCGUUAAUCGGAAUUACUGGGCGUAAAGCGCACGCAGGCGGUUUGUUAAGUCAGAUGUGAAAUCCCCCGGGCUCAGCCUGGGAACUGCAUUUGAAACUGGCAAGCUAGAGUCUCGUAGAGGGGGGUAGAAUUCCAGGUGUAGCGGUGAAAUGCGUAGAGAUCNGGAGGAAUACCGUGGCGAAGCGCCCCCUGANGAAGACUGACGCUCAGGUGCGAAA